UAGUCCACGCUGUAAACGAUGAUUACUCGUUGUGUGCAAUACAUCGUACGCGACUGAGCGAAAGCAUUAAGUAAUCCACCUGGGGAGUACGAUCGCAAGAUUGAAACUCAAAGGAAUUGACGGGGGCCCGCACAAGCGGAGGAACAUGUGGUUUAAUUCGAUGAUACGCGAGGAACCUUACCUGGGCUUAAAUGUAGACCGACGAACGGGGAAACUCGUUUUUCUUCGGACGUUUUACAAGGUGCUGCAUGGUUGUCGUCAGCUCGUGCCGUGAGGUGUCGGGUUAAGUCCCAUAACGAGCGCAACCCCUAUCGUUAGUUGCCAGCGAGUAAUGUCGGGGACUCUAACGAAACUGCCGGUGUAAACCGUGAGGAAGGUGGGGAUGACGUCAAAUCAGCACGGCCCUUAUGUCCAGGGCUACACACGUGUUACAAUGGUCGGUACAAAGGGCAGUUACCUGGUGACAGGAUGCUAAUCUCUAAAACCGGUCCCAGUUCGGAUCGAAGUCUGCAACUCGACUUCGUGAAGUUGG
rnacentral:rRNA from 1 species